GACGUAGGGGGCCAGCGUUGUUCGGAAUUACUGGGUGUAAAGGGUUCGUAGGCGGUGCGGCAAGUUGGGAGUGAAAUCUCUGGGCUUAACCCAGAGGCUGCUUCCGAAACUGCUGUGCUUGAGUGUGGGAGAGGCGCGUGGAAUUGCAGGUGUAGCGGUGAAAUGCGUAGAUAUCUGCAGGAACACCCGUGGCGAAAGCGGCGCGCUGGACCACUACUGACGCUGAGGAGCGAAAGCGUGGGUAGCAAACAGG
rnacentral:rRNA from 1 species